AUUCGCAGCUGGACACAUCCUUCUACAUUGUAUGCAAACAUGCAACAUCAUUACACACAGUACAAGGAGUCAGACUGGCAUAUGAGGAGCAAAGGAACCCAGGCAGUAGCAUCGUUUCACAAUGUUUCCAUCACCAUCAUCAGUGGAUGCCUUUGCCGUCCGUAGCCUGAGAUUUCAGAUUUGCAGCAAAAAAAAUUUGAUUUUCUCAUUUAUUGGAAUGCUGUGCAGGUAUUUGUACCUUGCAGCCAUCCAUUACAAUGUCACCAAGCCGUAACAAAAGCAGGAGAGGGAAAGUACAAGGCUAUGUUCCCAAAACACACAAGUGACAUACCUUAUGUGGAGGAUGUGAUCAGGCUUGUGUUUGCUGAGGUAUUUGAAGAUAAGCUGAAGGAAACCCCGAUUCCAAUGGACCUGGCAUCACAGUUUGAGAGACCUUCAAAGGAGGACGUGAUUGCAUGCCAUCUUCAGUGCA